UGCCAGCAGCCGCGGUAAUACGGAGGGGGCUAGCGUUGUUCGGAAUUACUGGGCGUAAAGCGCACGUAGGCGGCGUACCCAGUCAGAGGUGAAAGCCCCGGGCUCAACCCGGGAAUUGCCUUUGAUACUGGUAUGCUUGAGUUCGGAAGAGGGUAGUGGAAUUCCAAGUGUAGAGGUGAAAUUCGUAGAUAUUUGGAAGAACACCAGUGGCGAAGGCGGCUACCUGGUCCGAUACUGACGCUGAGGUGCGAAAGCGUGGGGAGCAAACAGGAUUAGAUA
rnacentral:rRNA from 1 species